CAGUAACGGCGAGUGAAGCGGCAACAGCUCAAAUUUGAAAUCUGGCUCCCCCCUGGGGGGCCCGAGUUGUAAUUUGGAGAGGAUGCUUUGGGCGCGGCGCCUUCCGAGUUCCUUGGAACAGGACGCCAGAGAGGGUGAGAGCCCCGUACGGUCGGACGCCUAGCCCGUGCAAAGCUCCUUCGACGAGUCGAGUAGUUUGGGAAUGCUGCUCAAAAUGGGAGGUAAAUUUCUUCUAAAGCUAAAUACCGGCCAGAGACCGAUAGCGCACAAGUAGAGUGAUCGAAAGAUGAAAAGCACUUUGAAAAGAGGGUUAAACAGCACGUGAAAUUGUUGAAAGGGAAGCGCUUGUGGCCAGACGUGCGCCCCGCGGACCACCCGUCGCUCUGCGGCGGGGCACGCCGCGGCGGCGCAGGCCAGCAUCGGCUCUCCCAGGGGGACAAAGGCCGCGGGAACGUAGCUCCUUCGGGAGUGUUAUAGCCCGCGGCGUCAUACCUCUGGGGGGGCCGAGGACCGCGCCUUCGGGCAAGGAUGCUGGCGUAAUGGCCACCAGCGACCCGUCUUGAAACACGGACCAAGGAGUCAAGCAUUGGGGCGAGUGUUUGGGUGACAAACCCGCACGCGAAAUGAAAGUGAACGCAGGUGGGAGCCUCCGGGCGCACCACCGACCGAUCCUGAUGUUUUCGGAUGGAUUUGAGUAGGAGCCUUGCCGCUUGGACCCGAAAGA
rnacentral:rRNA from 1 species